AUGACUAACGUAAGGAGCACCCAUCCUCACUUUGUGUGCUCCAUGAUUCCUAAUGAGUCAAAGACUCCAGGUCUGAUGGAGAACUUCCUGGUCAUCCACCAGCUCAGGUGUAACGGUGUGCCGGAGGGUAUCAGUAUCUGCA